rnacentral:rRNA from 1 species
AGGGAAUAUUGGGCAAUGGACGCAAGUCUGACCCAGCCAUGCCGCGUGAAGGAUUGACGGCCCUAGUGGUUGUAAACUUCUUUUGUACGGGAAAAAACCCCUGAUCGCGCAUCAGGGCUGAUGGUACCGUAAGAAUAAGGAUCGGCUAACUCCGUGCCAGCAGCCGCGGUAAUACGGAGGAUCCAAGCGUUAUCCGGAUUUAUUGGGUUUAAAGGGUGCGCAGGCGGGAUAAUAAGUCAGAGGUGAAAGCCUACAGCUUAACUGUAGAAUUGCCUUUGAUACUGUUAUUCUUGAGUACAGUUGGAGUGGGCGGAAUGUGUCAUGUAGCGGUGAAAUGCUUAGAUAUGACACAGAACACCGAUCGCGAAGGCAGCUCACUAAGUUGUAACUGACGCUCAUGCACGAAAGCGUGGGGAUCAAAC